rnacentral:rRNA from 1 species
CCUACGGGGGGCAGCAGUGGGGGAUAUUGCACAAUGGGGGAAACCCUGAUGCAGCGACGCCGCGUGGGCGAAGAAGUAUUUCGGUAUGUAAAGCCCUAUCAGCAGGGAAGAAGAAAUGACGGUACCUGAGUAAGAAGCACCGGCUAAAUACGUGCCAGCAGCCGCGGUAAUACGUAUGGUGCAAGCGUUAUCCGGAUUUACUGGGUGUAAAGGGAGCGCAGGCGGCACGGCAAGCCUGAUGUGAAAGCCCGCGGCCCAACCGCGGGACUGCAUUGGGAACUACCGGGCUGGAGUGCCGGAGAGGUAGGCGGAAUUCCUAGUGUAGCGGUGAAAUGCUUAGAUAUCACGAAGAACCCCGAUUGCGAAGGCAGCUUACUAAACUGUGACUGACAUUGAUGCUCGAAAGCGUGGGGAGCAAACAGGAUUAGAUACCCCAGUAGUC